AGACCCGAAACCCGGUGAUCUAGCCAUGGGCAGGUUGAAGGUUGGGUAACACUAACUGGAGGACCGAACCGACUAAUGUUGAAAAAUUAGCGGAUGACCUGUGGCUGGGGGUGAAAGGCCAAUCAAACCGGGAGAUAGCUGGUUCUCCCCGAAAGCUAUUUAGGUAGCGCCUCGUGAACUCAUCUCCGGGGGUAGAGCACUGUUUCGGCUAGGGGGCCAUCCCGGCUUACCAACCCGAUGCAAACUGCGAAUACCGGAGAAUGUUAUCACGGGAGACACACGGCGGGUGCUAACGUCCGUCGUGAAGAGGGAAACAACCCAGACCGCCAGCUAAGGUCCCAAAGUCAUGGUUAAGUGGGAAACGAUGUGGGAAGGCCCAGACAGCCAGGAUGUUGGCUUAGAAGCAGCCAUCAUUUAAAGAAAGCGUAAUAGCUCACUGGUCGAGUCGGCCUGCGCGGAAGAUGUAACGGGGCUAAACCAUGCACCGAAGCUGCGGCAGCGACACUCAGGUGUUGUUGGGUAGGGGAGCGUUCUGUAAGCCUGCGAAGGUGGCCUGUGAGGGUUGCUGGAGGUAUCAGAAGUGCGAAUGCUGACAUAAGUAACGAUAAAGCGGGUGAAAAGCCCGCUCGCCGGAAGACCAAGGGUUCCUGUCCAACGUUAAUCGGGGCAGGGUGAGUCGACCCCUAAGGCGAGGCCGAAAGGCGUAGUCGAUGGGAAACGGGUUAAUAUUCCCGUACUUGGUGUUACUGCGAAGGGGGGACGGAGAAGGCUAUGUUGGCCGGGCGACGGUUGUCCCGGUUUAAGCGUGUAGGCUGGUUUUCCAGGCAAAUCCGGAAAAUCAAGGCUGAGGCGUGACGACGAGGCACUACGGUGCUGAAGCAACAAAUGCCCUGCUUCCAGGAAAAGCCUCUAAGCAUCAGGUAACAUCAAAUCGUACCCCAAACCGACACAGGUGGUCAGGUAGAGAAUACCAAGGCGCUUGAGAGAACUCGGGUGAAGGAACUAGGCAAAAUGGUGCCGUAACUUCGGGAGAAGGCACGCUGACAC
rnacentral:rRNA from 2 species